AUUGAACGCUGGCGGCAGGCCUAACACAUGCAAGUCGAACGAGUGGCGGACGGGUGAGUAAUGUCUGGGAAACUGCCCGAUGGAGGGGGAUAACUACUGGAAACGGUAGCUAAUACCGCAUACCAUCGGAUGUGCCCAGAUGGGAUUAGCUAGUAGGUGGGGUAAAGGCUCACCUAGGCGACGAUCCCUAGCUGGUAUGAGAGGAUGACCAGCCAAACGGGGACUGAGACACGGUCCAGACUCCGACGGGAGGAAGCAGUGGGGAAUGUUGGACAAUGGGUGAAAGCCUUAUGCAGACAUGCCGCGGGUAUGAAGAAGGCCUUCGGGUUGUAAAGUACUUUCGGCAGAGAAGCGGUAUCUGCAGAAGAAGCACCGGCUAACUCCGUGCCAGCAGCCGCGGUAAUAC
rnacentral:rRNA from 1 species